CAGCAGCCGCGGUAAAACGAAGGGUGCAAGCGUUACUCGGAAUUACUGGGCGUAAAGCGUGCGUAGGUGGUGGUUUAAGUCCGUUGUGAAAGCCCUGGGCUCAACCUGGGAAUUGCAGUGGAUACUGGGUCACUAGAGUGUGGUAGAGGAUAGUGGAAUUUCCGGUGUAGCAGUGAAAUGCGUAGAGAUCGGAAGGAACAUCUGUGGCGAAGGCGACUAUCUGGGCCAACACUGACACUGAGGCACGAAAGCGUGGGGAGCAAACAGGAUUAGAUACCCGAGUAGUCCCUGUCUCUUAUAA
rnacentral:rRNA from 1 species